rnacentral:lncRNA from 1 species
GUUAGUAGCUGUAAGCCUAUAAGUUAAAAAAACUGAACUGUGUUCAAUUGUGAUGGACUUCAUACGAGGCAAAGCUCAGGCAUACGCUAAUAUCUCAGAGCACUUGGAUAAGCUAGUGUGGUCCACCAUGGCAUAUUAUCCUGUUAUCCUGGUUAUACACCCUCAUAUUCUUAUCUUGAACCACUUGUAAGUUGGCAGAGAUUGAAAUUCACAUAUACACAGAAUACGCUGGUUGUAGGUAAACAUCAUCCUAUCUAUGCAAUAGUGCUUUUAAAGACCACUACUCUAUGUCCUCUUUUUCUUAUGUUUAUCACAUGUUUUUAAUUUCCUCUCUUGGUUUCUCAUGGCAUCUUACAUUGAUUUGUACUCUUCUGGCAUGUCCUACAAUAGUUCCUGCAAAAAUGUGUACUACAUUAUAUCAGGUAAAAUCAUUUGUAAAAUGAGAAAAGAGUGUCUAGUUCCAUUGUAAAAGGUGGCUACUAUUUUAAUGGAAAAAAACAUGAGAUUACAAUGUAAUGAAGCCAAAAAAUAAAGAACUUAAUGUAGAACACAUCUUACAUGAAAAUAUGAAAUGAAACUGCAAAAAGUUACAGAAAUCAAGUAGCCAAGAUGUGCAAGAAGCAAUGAAAUAUUUUGGAGGCGAAGCCGAAAUGAAAUGGGAGUGAAAAAGCACCUCUCGACGGAUCAAAACAUAUAUUAUCUUCCAUACAUGCUGACUACUUACAUGGAUGAUGCAUAAGCAUCGGAAAUUUUAAAAAAGAAAAACAUACAUGUAAUAUCCGCAUAUUCAUGUAGUGCAACUUCUUAAGAGCCUUCUUUCUAGGGUUGAAAGCUUCUGAAAAGCCUACGAUUAUCUAAAUUUCCAUAAGUAGCAGACAUGAAAUUUGCAUCAAAAUAAUCACAAUUAAGAGUCUAUAGUACAUCUUGAGCAACAAACUAGUGGUUCAGUAUAGCGUCAUGAAAUAAGAGUACCCUUGCUGAAGAUACAGUCAAACAAAAAGUAGUUUUACUGAGUCAAUUGUCCAAUUUAGAGUUAACAUAUGGACUGCAAUAACCAAGCAUCAACUACAGCAGCUGGACGUUUGUGAACAAAUAACUUAUAACUACACAUGAGGAAGCAAAUCUGCAUGAACUCCGAGCGGGCACCAUCAAAUUUUACAGAUUAAGUGAUCAUCUCCCAGGCAAAUCUGCAUGAACCUAUCUUUACAGCCAUUCCAGACCCUCAACGUG